GGAAUAUUGGUCAAUGGGCGGAAGCCUGAACCAGCCAAGUCGCGUGAAGGACGACAGCCCUAUGGGUUGUAAACUUCUUUAGCAGGUGAAUAAAAGGGGGCAUGUAUGCCCCUUUGCAGGUAGCCUGAGAAUAAGCAUCGGCUAACUCCGUGCCAGCAGCCGCGGUAAUACGGAGGAUGCAAGCGUUAUCCGGAUUUAUUGGGUUUAAAGGGUGCGUAGGCGGAUUAGCAAGUCAGCGGUGAAAUUCAGGAGCUCAACUCCUGCCGUGCCGUUGAAACUGUUGGUCUAGAGUACAAAGGAAGUAAGCGGAAUUCGCGGUGUAGCGGUGAAAUGCAUAGAUAUCGCGAAGAAUUCCGAUAGCGAAGGCAGCUUACUACGCUGUAACUGACGCUGAAGCACGAAAGCGUGGGGAUCAAACAGGAUUAGAUACCCUGGUAGUCCACGCAGUAAACGAUGAUUACUCGCCGUUUGCGAUAUACGGUAAGCGGCCAAGCGAAAGCGUUAAGUAAUCCACCUGGGGAGUACGCCGGCAACGGUGAAACUCAAAGGAAUUGACGGGGGCCCGCACAAGCGGAGGAACAUGUGGUUUAAUUCGAUGAUACGCGAGGAACCUUACCCGGGCUUGAACGGCAGAGGGAUACGGAUGAAAGUUCGUAGCCGGCAACGGUCUCUGUCGAGGUGCUGCAUGGUUGUCGUCAGCUCGUGCCGUGAGGUGUCGGCUUAAGUGCCAUAACGAGCGCAACCCUUAUCGCCAGUUACUAACGGGUAACGCUGAGGACUCUGGCGAGACUGCCAUCGUAAGAUGUGAGGAAGGCAGGGAUGACGUCAAAUCAGCACGGCCCUUACGUCCGGGGCGACACACGUGUUACAAUGGGUGGGACAGCGGGCCGCCACUUGGCAACAAGGCGCCAAUCCCCAAACCCACUCCCAGUUCGGAUCGGAGUCUGCAACCCGACUCCGUGAAGCUGGAUUCGCUAGUAAUCGCGCAUCA
rnacentral:rRNA from 1 species